rnacentral:rRNA from 1 species
UCAGGACGAACGCUGGCGGCGUAGCUUAACACAUGCAAGUCGAACGAGAGGAGAAGGAAGCUUGCUUCUUUCAAAUCUAGUGGCAAACGGGUGAGUAACACGUAAACAACCUGCCUUCAGGAUGGGGACAACAGACGGAAACGACUGCUAAUACCGAAUACGUUCCUUAGGUCGCAUGACUUUAGGAAGAAAGGGUGGCCUCUACUUGUAAGCUAUCGCCUGAAGAGGGGUUUGCGUCUGAUUAGGUAGUUGGUGAGGUAACGGCCCACCAAGCCGACGAUCAGUAGCCGGUCUGAGAGGAUGAACGGCCACAUUGGAACUGAGACACGGUCCAGACUCCUACGGGAGGCAGCAGUGGGGAAUCUUCCGCAAUGGGCGAAAGCCUGACGGAGCAACGCCGCGUGAGUGAAGAAGGCCUUCGGGUCGUAAAGCUCUGUUGUCGGGGACGAAUGUAGUUACCAUCAACAACCGUAACUAAUGACGGUACCUGACGAGGAAGCCACGGCUAACUACGUG